rnacentral:tRNA from 1 species
GAGGAUAUAGCUCAGUGGUAGAGUCCUGUGCUUAGCAUGCAUAAGGUCCUGGGCUCAAUCCCCAGUACCACCA